rnacentral:rRNA from 1 species
AGUGAACGCUGGCGGUAGGCCUAACACAUGCAAGUCGAACGGCAGCACAGUAAGAGCUUGCUCUUACGGGUGGCGAGUGGCGGACGGGUGAGGAAUACAUCGGAAUCUACUUUUUCGUGGGGGAUAACGUAGGGAAACUUACGCUAAUACCGCAUACGACCUACGGGUGAAAGCAGGAGAUCUUCGGACCUUGCGCGAUUGAAUGAGCCGGUGUCGGAUUAGCUAGUUGGCGAGGUAAAGGCCCACCAAGGCGACGAUCCGUAGCUGGUCUGAGAGGAUGAUCAGCCACACUGGAACUGAGACACGGUCCAGACUCCUACGGGAGGCAGCAGUGGGGAAUAUUGGACAAUGGGCGCAAGCCUGAUCCAGCCAUACCGCGUGGGUGAAGAAGGCCUUCGGGUUGUAAAGCUCUUUUGUUGGGAAAGAAAAGCAGCAGAUUAAUACCCCGCUGUUCUGACGGUACCCAAAGAAUAAGCACCGGCUAACUUCGUG